rnacentral:sRNA from 1 species
UCUUGACAAACAUCAAUAUUUUGAUAAUGUAACAGUGGCGGAUCUAGAAAAAUAUUUAGUCUAGAGCACUAUUAAUCUACUUGUUAUAUAU